GGUGGCUCGGUCUUGCUGAGGACCCUUGAGAGAACGCAAAGAUGACCCUUCAACAUUGUCUCACUGAGAGAUGGGGCAGCUGAGAUAUUUACCUGCCCUCUCUCAUCUUUGACUGAUUGAGAAUUGUCCUUCGGGGCAUAAAAUUUCAGGUAUUUUCAAAAUGCCAUGCAGGUGGGCUAAACAAGCUCCUACAGCCCCCGGAGAAAGCCACCGAGAGAAAAAGCAAAGAACGAGGAGUUUUGGGGUGGGAAGCUGUCAGUGCUGCAGGUAAACUCGGGUAGGCUGAAGACGAUGGGGCAGGGCAGCCACAGCACCUACUGCCAUGGCGACUUGGCCACCGUUAUAAGUAGAUGCAACUGUACAACCAAGGAUAGCCAAGGGUGGACCCGAACCCCCUCUCCAGAAAUUCUGCCUUACUUUAGAAUGGGGUGAACAGCAGGGAAAAUGAACAAUUUUCUUUGCUUUUUCUCCUCCCUCCUUUCCUUUUUCUAGAUAAGCCAGCCAGCCAACUGCUUAUGAGGAUGAGGAGAAACUGGGGCAAAGUUUAAGGAUGUCCCAAAGUCUGGGUGGCCUUCAGUCCGUGAAAGAGAACACGUCUGUUCUAUCUCAGGCUGAGGUCAUCUGCAUCCUCAUCAAUAAGCUAACUGAGCACUCAUUACCUGCCAGACAUGAUGCCUACAUGCUCUAAAUGCACGGUCUCGUUUAUUCUCAGCAACUUUCGGAGAUAAGUGCUGUUAUCAUUCCCAUUCCACAGAGGAACAAACUAAGGCUCUGAGAAGAAGUAAUUUGCUCAAGACCGCACGGCCUGGGAUCAUGGGUGUGAAUCAUCUGGGUGAAUGAUGAGGCCAAAUCCCAAGUCCAUGUUUAUGACACUUAGAAAUAACCAUUUAAGUGUCCUUUGAAGGGUCAAAACCAUUUAGAGGUUUUAUCUCUUUCUUACAAUCUUCAAAGAAGUUUAAUACCUUAUAAUAAAUAUCUCACAGAUAACUCAGGUCACUCAGUGAAUAUUAGUUGAAUUGCUUUUGUAUUAGAUACUACCUGCAGCCAAAAUAUAAAUCUGACUAUGUCACCCUCCAGCUCAGAUAUCUUCCAUGGCUCCCCAUUGCCCUCAAGAGACGAUUUAAACUCGUUACUACGGACUCUUUACUCCAAGUCCUUGAGAUCCAUCUGUGCCACCUCCCCAGCUUCCAUCCUGUUAUCCGUUCUCCCCACAGUCUCACUUCAGCCAUGCUAAGCUACCUGCCAUUCUCUCUGUGGACCCUGGGCUCUUGCACUUGCUGUUCUUCUGGGAGCCCUUUUGUCCAACGCUUAUUCAUUCUGUGUGAGUUAACUCAACUGUCACCUCCCAAAAGUGGCCAACCUCCACCCACUGUGGUCUUGCACCAGUGCCUUCCCCUGAGUCCCGUGACAUCCUGCAUUUGCUUCUCUUACAUUGUAUUAUUAUUAUCUUUUUGCCUGCCUGUCUCUCCCACAGACAUGAAAGCAAGCCUUUUAUGUACUUAGGUUGGAUUUCAACCUUGGCUCUGCCAUGUGUGUUCUUGGGCAAAGUUGUUUUUUUCUCUGUGAGCCUUAGUUUCCUCAGCUGUCAAAUAAGCAGUGAACAAGGUUAAGUCAUGUGACACACAAUACCUGGCAUAUAGUGAGGUUCAAUGUUAGCUUUUUUAAUCUAAGCAUCUUCAGGGCCAGUCUUUGGACCAAACAUGCUGUUGAUGCUCAGUGAAGUGGUAGCUCUACCUGGACCAGUGGUUUUCAAAUUUUCUCCUUCAUUGGAACCACCUGAGAGGCUGCUAAAACACAGGUUACUGGGUCCCAUCCCAAGAGUUUUUGAUUCUGCGGGUACGGAGUGGGGCUUGAGAGUUUGCAUUCCUAAUAUGUUCUCAGGUGGUGCUGAGGCUGCUGGUCCUGGGACUGUACUUUUAGAACCACUGGGCUGGUUACCUGGGAAGGGUAGAUGUCUGGUUAGGGUGAUCAGACAUUCAGAGCUAAAACAAAUUCACACUAGAGGACAAGGCAAUCCACAAUGGGUGUGGCCACAGGAUAUUUGUUUAUCAAUUUAUCCAUUCAACCAAUAUUUGUUGAGUAUCUACCAUGUCCAGGCAUUGUGCUAGACACUGACAAUAGAACAAUGAAUGAGCAAGACAAGAAGGUCCAGAUCUUGAUAAGUUCACAUUCUAGUGGCCCUGCUUUGGAAGGUGGGGACCGUCAUUACACAAAUCGCAUGGGUGUGAAUUGAAGGGACACAGUUAGUUUGAGGAAUGGUUAGCCUUAAAGCCACUGAUACCAAAAAUGGCUUUACUGUCUACUGUAUCAUUGUAUUGCCUUCUCAACAUGAUUUCACCAAAAUGAUUCAUUGAAACUGAUUAUGGUAUUCCCACAAUCCCCUUGCCUGGAACUGCAGCCAUCAUUCAGCACAGUUUUAGGAUGAAGUCAAGCCAUGGAACAUGAAUGGAGUGUCAGAGAACCAGAGCCAGGCUAUGAGACUUAACACUAGUUAUAUGAAACGAUACAUUUCCUCAUUAUCAUUGUUAGCUGGAACAGAGUCUCAGAGAAUCAAAGCCAAAGAUGUUAUACAACACCUACUAUAUGAAAUGAUAAAUACCCUUAUUGUUACGAUUAUUCGCCAAUUCAAGUAGGGGUUUUCUGUUACUUGGUGCUAAAAGUUUCCCAUGAUAGAAUAGCUUGCCUUUUAUAAGUGCUUACAAUGUGCCAGCCACUGCACUAAAUGUUUGGUAUGCACCAUCUCACUGCAUGCUGGCAGCAACUCCACGAGUAGGCUCUAUUAUUAGCCCAUUGUUGAGGGAGGACACUCAGAGUUUAAGUCACUUGCUCUUUAGUUGGGAGUGGAGAAGAUGAGAGGUAAGGCUGCUUUGUGGAGCAGGAUGGGCCAGUAAGGGUUAUUUAAAUGCAUCGCAAUGACACCAACUUAAACGUUUUGCAAUCACACAGUCUUCCUUGAGCUUCUUCCGAGAUAGAGCAGAUAAGGAUGGACACAAACCAACCAACCUUAUCUUCGUUUGGAGGACUGAGAAUCACAGAAGGCAACUGACUUGUCCAGUUCAGCUUUCUCGUUCUAGUUCUCCUAAUUAAACUUGACUGCUUUCUAGAAGAUAAUCAACAAAUACACUCUCAGGCUCCUUUGGCCCAGUUUCCCGGUUAGGCAAUCAGGGAAAAAGGUCUAGGCAUUGUAGAACCCCAGGUCCUGCAGCUCCCCCACGUGGCUGCAUUUUGACAAAAGCAUGCUUCUGAGAGAGUAUAUCACGUAAGGAACCAGCCCUUCCACAGCUGUCAUUAGCAGAAGUGCAGCUGGGGGCCAUUUUGUCAAGAAGUGCUUAUUUGGAAAAACAAAACAAAACAAAAAACGAAAAAGAAAAUCUAUACAGGUGCAUGCCAGUUCCCCGGUAAUGAAAUGUAACAAAGGAAGCACUUAAGUUCAGUGAGGGAAAUACAGCUUUAAAUUACAGAUUGUACCCAGAGCACUUUAUAAACGGUAAUGUGUGAUAAUGUAUUAUCCUUACUUCUGUGAAAUUGUGGACUGCAACUUCUGCCGGGGCCAGUUAAAGGGCCAGGAGAUGGAGAGGGUUGUGUGAAUGCCGUUCAAGAAAAGGGCAACAGAGGCUAAGGGGUUAAACUCCCCAGAAAACCAAUUUAUGCAAAGGGCUGGAUCCUGACCGGCAUUCUGCACUAAAGAUCUGAAUUACAAAUUUAGAGAAUUUGCUGCUCGACAACGAACGCAGGAAGGACCUCACUGGCUGCUGGGAACAACUGCCCUUUUGAAUGAAUUAUUUUAUGGUUACCAGUCAAAAAGUCACCGUCAGCUGGAACUGGAAGGGAGGGGCAUUUCUUAUCUGGGCAAAAAGCCCCUGUACCCAGCGAGGUGAAACUUGCAAAUGAUACUGUCACCUUCCUCAAUGGACUGCAGCUCAGGAGCUCACCAAAGGUUGCAGCAGGCAACCUCCACGGUGUUUGGAGACAAAGGAAUAGCAGCUGCCUGGUUUCCUUGAAUCACCCCAUGCUCUGACGAUGGCAGUGAUGGGCCUCCCACCAAUGGCUUCCCCAAGUGCUGUUUUCCUGCUUCAUGCCAAGUUAAGCAUUCUGAUACUAAGCGGCAUGAGAUAGUGCUCAACUGGGUGAGGCACAGGUGUGAGUAAUCUCGAGGUAUGGUCAGGAGGGUUGAAAAAGCUAACCCAGCUGCAAGGAAAAGACCUCUGGUCUUUAUUGGAAACACGAAUUUGACCCGUCCAAGCUGGGAGCUAAUAGGCCCCAGCAGCACAGGAUCCUCUCUUCGCUUACGCUUGGGUUUUGAGUGAUACCAUAUUUUUCUGAACACAUUUUCCAAAUGCCUAUUUGCCAAAGCCGUGGUGUAAUUUGCCUAAGCAGCAAACUUGUCCUUAUAGUCGAGGUCCAUCCACAUCAGGAGAGUAUAUUCAAUGUUUAUCUCCGACCAAUGUGUGAUGAAUUGCAUAUGAGAUAGAUUUGUGUGAGCCAAUGUGUGUGUGUGGAUCUGUGUUAGUUACAUGUGUUUAUUUGCAUGUAUGUAAACAUGACUGUGUGAGUGCAUGGAUCUAUUCCUGCAUGAUAUAUAUUUAUAUAUAUGAAUAUGUGCAUAUAUAUGCAAAUAUGGGUAUAAAUAUGUAUCUGAACAUAUAUGUGUGUAUCUGUAGUGGACACUGCCAAUGCACUUGUCCUCCAGUUACUUAGGCAUCCCAGCUUCUCAGCUCAAUGGGGGCCGCUUGCCCAUCCCCCCACCUCCCAGGGCAGCCCAGAAUUCACCUAUGGGGGUUCAAAGGCUGGCUCCCUUGACUCAAGGUCAAACUAUCUGAGUGGUGCAAUUCAUGCUCCAGUUGAAACCAACCCUUGCCCAACUCCUUGCUUGCCCUCUUCUUUUUCUCUUACUCCCUUUCCCUCAGAGCCCACUCCCAGUAUAUCCUAUGCGUCCAAAUCCCCAUCUCAGGCUCUGCUCCAAGCAACCUGGCCUAAGACAGCACUGUUCUAUACAUGCAUGUGUGUGUACAUGCAAACAUACACAUGCACACAUUUGUGUGUGUGUGUGCCCAUAUACAAGGAAAUCUGGGAAGAUCUGGGAGAGAAUGAUCUUCCAAAGAAGAUAAUGGAGGAAGAGUAUGGAUUUUAUAAUGUAGAAGUUAGAGCCAUCUCAUUCAGACUGCUUUGAAAGUUGAAAAUUAAAAGAUACUUUAGAAGUAAAUGUAUUUUUUAUUAAAUCAGAAAAAGAAAGAUACAGUUUACAUGACUGUCAGUCAAUCAUAUGCUACUUUGAAUUACAUUUUAAUAGACUCAGGAUCCUAUUUACUCCUUUGUACAGGUAUUAAAAACAACUCAGGUAUUUGAGAAAUCUUCUGUAAAUUUUUAUUAACUGAGGUUAUGGGGAGGGUUUUAUCAGAGCACAUCCUGAGAACAUUAGGAAUGACAGACACACUUGAGAUAAGUGUCAGACGGAACAGAUGAAGCGAGCCCCUCAGCCAUCUGAGAAACAUUAAUAAUGUAAGAUAGCAGAGACCAAAUCUUUGUUAGGGAUACAGAAUACAGGAUAAAAAUGGGGACCUUGCCGCCCCCUUGUGUUGCAAAAUAACCAUGCAACUUCCUUUGUUUUUUUUUUUUUUUUUUUUUUUAAGUUGUACUCUUUGCCCUUGUCACUGAGCCUCAAAAGCAAUUGUUUUCCCAAAUCAUUUUAAGCCCUCCCCAGUCAAUCUUUUCCCUCUCAUCAAUAACUUACAAGGACCCUAUUUGAAAAACAACGCUUAUUCAUUCCUUUUUCUAUACCCCACCCAUUCCAUUCUAGGAAAUUGGCAACCACCCAACACAGCCCGGGUUCUCCCUCCUUGAGAUGUGAAUUUAAACAAAUGGAUUUUCGUCUCCCCUCUUCAAGCUUAGAAGAUGAGCAUGCGUUUACUACAACGCUUAAUUCCUUCUAGCAGCAUUUCUCUUCUAUAACUUACUUGCCACUGCCUUUUUUUUUUUUUUUUAUAGAAUCUUGCUCUGUCGCCCAGGGUGGAGUGCAAUGGUGCAACUUCGGCUCACUGCAAACUCCACCUCCCAGGUACAAGCAGUUCUCGUGCCUUGGGCUCCUGAGUAGCUGGGACUACAGGUGUGUGCCACCAUGCCUGGCUAAUUUUUGUACUUUCAGUAGAGAUGGGGUUUCACGAUGUUGGCCGGGCUAGUCUUGAACUCCUGACCUCAGGUGAUCUACCUGCCUUGGCCUCCCAAAGUGCUGGGGUUACAGGCGAGAGCCACCAUGCCCAGCCACCAUUGCCAUUUUCAUCACUUAACCCGAACACAUUCCUCUAUUCCCUCCCUUUCCUGCUUGGUGAUCAUCGACUCUUCUGACCCAACUAGGUGACCUGCUAAACCAUCUUUACUGUUAUUUGCCAGAAAAGACUGGACCAGAGACGUAAAUAAUACACCUCAAUAUACAACAGCUCGGGCUUAAUUUCUAGGCAGAAUUUCAUUUGCUGGCCAUCAGAAGAAUAUAUACAUGGAGCGUGUUUGGGGAGGAGAUGGAGUAAGGAGAACACAUCUUGGUGGCAGGAGAACCUGGUGGGAACCGUGCUGAUUUGUUUACUUGGAUUUGCCAACUGGUCCGAUGGAUACUGGGUCUGUUUGCACUUGAGCAUCCAACAUCCGCUUUGGUCCCUGGAGAAAAACAGAAAGACUUGGCAGCCUAUUGAAGAUCUGUAAUGUCAACAGCAACAAUGGCCAUUUAUGCAGCACUUACUCUGUGCUAGGUGUUGUGCUAAAUUAAUAUAUCUCAUUCCUCAGUGCUGGGUAAGAGAAUGGUCUCCAAUCAGAUGCCCGGGUUCAAUACCCAGUUACAUGACUUUCUAGCUUUGUGAAAUCUUGGACAAAUUACUUAUCAUCUCUUUGCGCUUUGGUUUCUUUAUCUUUAAAAUGGAAAUGACAAACUUAUCUCAGAGGGUUGUUCCCAAGAUAAAGUGAGUUCAUACUUAUAAUGCACUUAGUACCUGGGGGGUACUAAUUCUACCUUACUUUAGCCCCCUCCCCAGUUACCAUCUAGGUUCAUCACCCUGUUUUCUUUUCUUUUUUUUUUUAUUAUACUUUAAGUUUUAGGGUACAUUUGCACAACGUGCAGGUUUGUUACAUAUGUAUACAUGUGCCAUGUUGGUGUGCUGCACCCAUUAACUCGUCAUUUAACAUUAGGUAUAUCUCCUAAUGCUAUCCUUCCGCCCACCCCCCCAUCCCAAACCCUAUUUUAUUUUCUCUCAGAACAUACCACUCUUUGAAAUGAUCUUAUUAUCUAAUUUAUUUGUCUAACAUCUGUCUUCUACACCAGAUUGGAAGCUGCAAGGAUUCUGUGUGUCUCAGCGCCUUGCAGGUUCCUAGCACAUGGUACCUAGCCUUAACAUUGACUGAAUGUGGGUGAAGGAAUGUUGUCAGGCAGAUACUAUUAUUUUAUUUUAUUUUUUUGAGACAAAGUCUCACUCUGUUGCCUAGGCUGAAGUACAGUGGUGGGACUAUGUUCACUGUAGUCUUGAAGUCCUGGGCUCUAAUGAUCCCCCCACGUCAGCCUCCCCAGUAGCUUGGACUACAGGUGCACACCACCAAACCCAGCUAAUUUUUAAAUUUUUUUGUAGAGACGGGGUCUCAAUUUGUUGUCCAGGAUGAUCUUGAACUCCUGGGCUCAUGUGAUCCUCCUACCUUGGCCUCCCAAAGUGUUGGAGUUACAGGUGUAAGCCACUAUGCCUAGCCUGAGUACUAUUAUUAUUAUUGUUACUUUACUGUUUCUGUCAAGUAUAACUUAUAAAUAGUAAAGUUAACCUUUUCUGUAUUUGGUUCUAUGAGGUUAGACCAACACAAAUAGCCAGCUAAAACCACCACCCAAAUUGACAUGUCACAUUGUUCUGUCCCCUCCCAGAUCCUUGUGCCUUCUGUGGUCAACCCCUCCCCACCGCAGACCCUGGCAAGCACCGAUCUGUUUUCAUCCCUAGAGUUCUGCCUUUGCCAGGAUGUCAUAUCAUGGGAUCCUAGAGUAUAUACAGCCCUUCAGACUAGCUUCUUUCAUGUAGCAUAGUGGAUUUGAGAUUCAUCCACCUUGCUGCAUGGAUCAAUUGUGGGCCUCCUUUUAUACUAUAAGGCAGUAUAGGGUAGUACAGUAUAAGAUUGUAUAUAUUGUAUACGGUAUAUAUAUAUAUAUACACAUAGAGUAUAGUAUAGAGUAGUAUAAUAACGUAUUGUAGCAUAGUAUACAUAGAUAGUAUAGUGUAGUAUAAGGUAAUAUAGGAUAGUACAAUAUAGGGUAGUGUAUAUUUUAUAGUAUAUAUAGUAUAUAUAUAUAGUAUAAUCAAGUAUGGUAACUAUAGCACAGUAUAGUUUAGUACACUGUAUAGUAUAGUAAAUAAAGUAUAGCAAAGCAUAAUGUAUAAUAUAGUAUGACAUAUACAGAACAGGAUAGUAUAUAGUAUAGGAAAUGGAAGUAUAAUACACUAUCACAAAGUAUAUAUGGUGUAGUAUAUGUACAUAGUGUCUUGUAGUAUAAUGCAGUUGAAUAUACAUAGUAUCAUAUAAUAUGUAAUAUAGUACAUAGAGUGUAUUAUAGCAUAAUAAAUAGAGUGUAGUUUAGUAUAUGUGAUGUAUAAAGGGCACAUAUAUAGUAUAUGUAUAUAGUACAUAGACUGUAUAGUGCCCUGUAUAAUCUAGCAUCGUAUAGUAUAUUGUAAAUACUACAUAGUGUAGUGUAAUUUCAUGUAAUUUACCAUGGAAUCAGAUUGCUGGGCUUUGAACGCCAGACCUGUCACUUCCUAGCUGGGUGACUUUGGUCAAAUUGCCUAACCCUCUACUCAAGCCUUAAUUUUACCGUUGAUAAAAUGGGAAUUCACAGGGUAGUUUUGAAGAUUAAAUGUUAGUAUAUGCAAUGUACUUUGAACAAUCUUUGUCACACAGUAACUAUGAUAAAAGAGUUAUGAUUACUUUUA